UGGGGAAUUUUGGACAAUGGGCGCAAGCCUGAUCCAGCAAUGCCGCGUGCAGGAUGAAGGCCUUCGGGUUGUAAACUGCUUUUGUACGGAACGAAACGGCUCUGGUUAAUACCUGGGGCUAAUGACGGUACCGUAAGAAUAAGCACCGGCUAACUACGUGCCAGCAGCCGCGGUAAUACGUAGGGUGCGAGCGUUAAUCGGAAUUACUGGGCGUAAAGCGUGCGCAGGCGGUGAUGUAAGACAGAUGUGAAAUCCCCGGGCUCAACCUGGGACCUGCAUUUGUGACUGCAGCGCUAGAGUGCGGCAGAGAAGGAUAGAAUGCCGCGUGUAGCAGUGAAAUGCGUAGAUAUGCGGAGGAACACCGAUGGCGAAGGCAAUCCCCUGGGCCUGCACUGACGCUCAUGCACGAAAGCGUGGGGAGCAAACA
rnacentral:rRNA from 1 species